rnacentral:rRNA from 1 species
CCUACGGGGGGCAGCAGUGGGGAAUAUUGGACAAUGGGGGCAACCCUGAUCCAGCCAUGCCGCGUGUGUGAAGAAGGCCCCCGGGUUGUAAAGCACUUUCAGUGAGGAAGAACGCCUGGUGGUUAAUACCCAUCAGGAAAGACAUCACUCACAGAAGAAGCACCGGCUAACUCCGUGCCAGCAGCCGCGGUAAUACGGAGGGUGCGAGCGUUAAUCGGAAUUACUGGGCGUAAAGCGCGCGUAGGUGGCUUGAUAAGCCGGUUGUGAAAGCCCCGGGCUCAACCUGGGAACGGCAUCCGGAACUGUCAAGCUAGAGUGCAGGAGAGGAAGGUAGAAUUCCCGGUGUAGCGGUGAAAUGCGUAGAGAUCGGGAGGAAUACCAGUGGCGAAGGCGGCCUUCUGGACUGACACUGACACUGAGGUGCGAAAGCGUGGGUAGCAAACAGGAUUAGAUACCCCUGUAGGC